rnacentral:rRNA from 1 species
AGGACGAACGCUGGACGGCACGCUUAACACAUGCAAGUCGAACGGAGUUAUUGGAGCUUGCUUUGAUAAACUUAGUGGCGGACGGGUGAGUAACACGUGAGCAAUCUGCCCUUAAGAGGGGGAUAGCAGUUGGAAACGACUGAUAAUACCGCAUAAGAUAGUAGUACCGCAUGGUACAGCUAUAAAGAUUUAUCGCUUAAGGAUGAGCUCGCGUCUGAUUAGCUAGUUGGUGAGGUAACGGCUCACCAAGGCAACGAUCAGUAGCCGGACUGAGAGGUUGGGCGGCCACAUUGGGACUGAGACACGGCCCAGACUCCUACGGGAGGCAGCAGUGGGGAAUAUUGCACAAUGGAGGAAACUCUGAUGCAGCGAUGCCGCGUGAGGGAAGAAGGUUUUAGGAUUGUAAACCUCUGUUGACAGGGACGAUAAUGACGGUACCUGUUGAGGAAGCUCCGGCUAACUACGUGCCAGCCGCCGC